rnacentral:ncRNA from 1 species
AAGCAAAGAUAAAAACGCAAUGCAUGUAGUGAUAUAUGCCAGAGCUGGUAGGUAGCCCAGCCGUCCUGUUUAUCAGGGUAAGUAACCUUCCCCUCCGGGUUGUCCAUUUUUUGCUUAUU